rnacentral:rRNA from 1 species
UACGGAGGGUGCUAGCGUUGUUCGGAAUUACUGGGCGUAAAGCGCGCGUAGGCGGACCUGCAAGUCGGGGGUGAAAGCCCGAGGCUCAACCUCGGAACUGCCUUCGAUACUGCGGGUCUCGAGUCCGGGAGAGGUGAGUGGAAUUCCUAGUGUAGAGGUGAAAUUCGUAGAUAUUAGGAAGAACACCAGUGGCGAAGGCGGCUCACUGGCCCGGUACUGACGCUGAGGCGCGAAAGCGUGGGGAGCAAACAGG